GCUGUGAUCUGGGGCACGUAAAUCAAUGAAACAGUCGGCUUUAACAUGUGGAAACCACCUUUCAGUAAGAGUUAUGUCCGCAUUAAAGUAAUCGGCAUCUAAUUUCGUGUAAUCAGGUGAGAAGCUAAUCUGGUACAUUACUGUGUGACUGGGAGAAAUUCUGGUGAUUGACGUGGACAGACAGUCGUUGGAGAAAUGAUGUUCCACAAACUACAGGGAAAUAUCAAGCAUGAGCCAAUGGGAAACUGAACAAGUGUCUGGUGCAGGAGAGACGGACAACAUUCUGGAUUCCAUUUUCGAUGAGGAAAAUAUCAAGCCUGGAAUGGAGAAAGCUUCUGGUGUACGAGACAAGAACUUGUGAAUGACAUCAGCGAGGAGAAUAUCUGGAAUUGAAAAAGCUGGAAAGUUAGAAGCGUUUCUGGUGUAGGAGAGAAGGACAACUUUUUUAAUAACACACACAGCCAGGAGAAUAUCAAGCAUGGAAUGGAAAACUGAGCUGCAAAUCAAGAAACCUCUUCUGGCGUGGGAGACAAGAACAACUUCUGAGUGACUUUACCAAUGAGGUUUGUUUCUUACUUUUUGCAUUAAGCUGUAGAUUCGGUGCUAGUUGUUCGAACGCAGAUUUACCAAUCCAAGUUUCUGUAAUCAAUAACAGCCGGCCCAAUACCACCAGGGGGUUAAAAGCGACGUGAAGAUUUACUAAUUCAGGAUUACAACUUAACAACUAUUUUCACUGUUAAGUUUGAAUUUGAAAUUAACUGAUGCCGAUAAAAAAUCAUUCAGUGAAACCUAAUUUACCUAAGCUGUAAUCUAGGCGUCCUGUGAAAGGGGGAUUCCCUGAGACGACCAGGAAUUAUUUGUCAUUCAACAGGGAACAAAACAACAGCUGAAAAAAGAAUUUAAAAAACUAGACUUGUUCUUCUUUGUCGAUGAUUAUUUGCU
rnacentral:lncRNA from 1 species